rnacentral:rRNA from 1 species
GUGGGGAAUUUUGGACAAUGGGGGCAACCCUGAUCCAGCAAUGCCGCGUGCAGGAAGAAGGCCUUCGGGUUGUAAACUGCUUUUGUACGGAACGAAAAGGCUCUGGUUAAUACCUGGGGCACAUGACGGUACCGUAAGAAUAAGCACCGGCUAACUACGUGCCAGCAGCCGCGGUAAUACGUAGGGUGCAAGCGUUAAUCGGAAUUACUGGGCGUAAAGCGUGCGCAGGCGGUGCUGUAAGACAGGCGUGAAAUCCCCGGGCUUAACCUGGGAAUGGCGCGUGUGACUGCAGUGCUGGAGUGUGGCAGGGGGGGAUGGAAUUCCGCGUGUAGCAGUGAAAUGCGUAGAUAUGCGGAGGAACACCGAUGGCGAAGGCAAUCCCCUGGGCCUGCACUGACGCUCAUGCACGAAAGCGUGGGGAGCAAACAGGAUUAGAUACCCUGGUAGUCC